CACGUAGGGCGCAAGCGUUGUCCGGAAUUAUUGGGCGUAAAGAGCUCGUAGGCGGUCUGUUACGUCUGCUGUGAAAACCCAGGGCUUAACCCUGGGCUUGCAGUGGAUACGGGCAGACUAGAGGCAGGUAGGGGAGACUGGAAUUCCUGGUGUAGCGGUGAAAUGCGCAGAUAUCAGGAGGAACACCGGUGGCGAAGGCGGGUCUCUGGGCCGAUACUGACGCUGAGGAGCGAAAGCGUGGGGAGCGAACAGG
rnacentral:rRNA from 1 species